rnacentral:piRNA from 1 species
UGGGAUCUUGCCAAUGCCUGAUGGGAGCGA